AUUUUAGUGAUAAAUAUGUCAGAUUUUAAACAUUUUUAUUUGAAUUUUGUUGCCACAUGUGAACAAUACUUGUUUGAAACACUUUCUUUUGCGUUUUUAAAAAAAUUUGAGUAAAUUUUUGUUGACACACCAGGCGUUUCAGCCAUCUUCUUCCCACUGAAAAGAAACUUUCAAUUCUCUGGAAUCACAAAUGGUGUAAAUGAAAAAAUCAUAUAAGCAUGAUGUUCCAGGAUAAUAGUUCGAUGAGUUACAAGCAACUCAACCAGCAGGAAUGUUCUCAACAGGAGGACUCAGCGGAUGAGUAUGAAUUAACGGAAAAGCUGACCGCUGUUUCCAAGCGGAAGAAAAGCACGUGCAGGAUCAACUAUAAGCCCUUGCCCCCUAAGCAAGUGAAAAAUUUCAAAUUGAUCUUGUCCAAUUAUUUCAACUGCUCUCUUCCUGUCAAUGUCUACCGGUCCACCAAGACUGGCCUGACGGUGGUCGUCAGUGAGAUGGUCGGUCCCAUGGUUUCUGCUUAUGUGUCUUUUGCUACUGAAAGCUUAGGUGAUGACGGCUUACCAGAAAUUGUAAGGAACUUAGUGUUCCUAGGAAGCGAAGAUUAUCCAUAUAGACAUGUCAUUAAUAAUAUUGCCAAAAAUUGUCAUGUUACGGCCUUCAAUUCAUGGACAGCUGUCAACUACACAUGCUACACAUACACAUCAGCAUCAGAAUGUGGUUUCUUUAACAUGCUACCAAUUUUUAUGGACCAUCUGUUAUUUCCAACACUAAAAAAAACUAAUUAUAUCACAGACAUCUAUCACAUUGAUGAAUAUGGGAGGGAUGCGGGACAUGUCGCACAAAGUCUGGAUGCCUUGGAGUCUUCCAAAAAUGAGAUCAUCCUGAGGGAGGUGAUGAAUUUGGUCUAUGCCAACACCGACUACCGUUUUUCUCCUUAUGGCAAAAUGCAGAACAUACGAACAAGCGCAUCCAACGAGAAAGUAAGAAGAUUUCACAGUAAAUCGUACAGGCCGGAAAAUUGUUUUAUUAUUGUUGUUGGUUCUCAAUUGCAAAAAGUGCUAAACUGUUUGGAAUCUGUAGAGAGAAAAAUUAUUAACAAGGGUCACAGAAGUCAUUUUCACAGGCCGUGGCAAUCUGCAAUUCCCCCUUUACCUCUUGAAGACCAUUUUAUGAGUUAUGUUAAAUAUCCUUCAAGUGAAGAUGUUACAGCGACAAUCACCAUGGCAUGGCGGGGGCCUAAUAUUGUCCGUGAUUAUCCAAAGAUUCUUGCUUGUGAUAUGAUGUUUAGGUUCUUGACAGAAUCUAAUGAUAGCCCCCUUGUUCAAGAAUUUUUGAAAAUUUCCAAACCAUGGGCUACUUCAAUUACUUACCGGGUGGAAAUGUAUAUAGACUCUCUUGUCGCCAUCACUUUCAGUGGUGUGCCAAAAUCAUAUAUGAACCGUGUAAAAGAUAAAGUGGUAGAUAUACUAAAAUCAUUAACUAAAACACCAGAAGCUUUUACACCGAUUGGGGCUACUUUAAAGACCAUUAGAAAAGAAACAAUUAUAGCGCUUGAAAAAAAGUCUCUGGAUUUCUUUGUUUCCACUAUGAUCAAUUACCAGAUUUACGGCAAAAAUGAAUAUGAUUUUAAAGUGAGAGUUGAUUUCUUACCCCUCCUGGAACAUAUAAUUAAAUUACCAAUGAAAUUCUGGAUUACUUUGCUAAACAAAUUUUUCGUUCUGAGAAAGUGCGUUUGUAUUGUGGCACAACCAAGUUAUUCCGAGGUGAUAAAACAAACAAACAUAAAAGUUGAUUCAAUAAAAGACAGAGUAAAGAAACAAGGACUAGAUGGACUUGUUAGAUUUAAAAGAUAUUUCAUUGCUGCAGCUGAGGACAACAAUGUAAAAAUACCAAGAGAAAUCUUCAAUAGCCUCAAGACAUGGCAGAAGCCAGAAAAUUAUUAUCCUUUGAACCAUUACGGUUUAGAAGAAAAGACACACCCAAGGUUCAACUUUGAUAAAGUCCCCCUCAACAUGCAAAUCACGGAUAUUUACACACAUUUCAUAACUAUUUAUGCUCUGAUUGACACGAGAAAACUUGAGCUGGGAAUGCGUGCUUAUUUGCCACUUUUGUUGGAAAGUUUGAUCCAGUCCGCAAUAAUGAGAAAUGGAACGGCUAUUCCCCUAGAACAAAUUUUUCAAGAAAGACAGGAAGAUCUUAUCUCGCUAACAUGUUCACUGGGCUGCAAGCCUUCUGGGUUUUUUUCUUGUGGAUAUCCCUCGCAUUUUGCUUGCGUCUCUGUUACGGUAGAUUUUGAAAAAUACUACAAAGGAAUAAUGUGGUUGAAGGACACACUGUUUAACACUUUCUUUACUGCUGACCGCCUCAAAACAGUUGUUAAUUAUCUACUAGAAGAGGCAGUUGCAAAAUUAAACAACAGUAGAGACAUCGUAUUGCAGUUGAUGAAUGGGAUGACGCAUGAAAGAAACAGCAACUACUGGGCCUCAAAUACAAACUUACAAGUUAAGUUUCUAUUCGAGACAUUGUCAUUUUUGGACGAAACCCCUGAAGACAUAAUUACAGAGCUGGAAACCGUAAAACAGGCCUUCCUGGAUGACUCAAUUCGCUUACACAUGGUUGUCAACAUGGAAAUGCUUGCAACAAAUUACCUCGACCCGGCAGGAGUCUGGCAGAACUUCCUUCCAAACAACAUCAACGCAAAUAAAUAUUUGUGUAAAUUGAAUCAUGAAUUGACACUCCUUAAAGAGAAUCUUUAUGAUUCGUGUGUUGUAUUAGAAGGGAAAGGAACAACAUUUGCUUGUCUGUGUUCACCCUGCUUUUCAGAUUUCACAUGCAACGAUUUGCCAGCCUUGAUUGUUUGCCUUGAAUACCUUAUGCAGCCUGAGGGACCGUUUUAUAAUACAAUCUUGGAAUAUGGAGGGACAUUGGAAAUUGAGGCAUGUCCUGAGCAUGGAAAAAUAUAUUUCUUAUUGAACAAUGUCAACAGUAUUGCUGAAGUUCUCAAAUUUUGUAAAAAAACCUGUAGUGUGCAAAACGUGAUUAUCCUUGGUCAGAGGACUUGGUAGUGGAUGCUAUAAACUUUGCCGUCGUACGAAAGAUAAGCCCAGAAAGCGAUAUUAAAGAGGUCAGCUUAGAUUCUAUUGUCAGCUAUUUGACCGGCAGGCCUGUGGAUUACAAAAAGAAGUUGAUCAAUGAUAUAAUGGAUGUGACAAAAAACGAUAUUAUCAUAGUGGCUGAAAAGUAUCUGACCUCUCUAUUUGAUUUUACUAAAUCUCGCAUUGUGAUCCUAAGUGAUGUUAAUGAUUACGAAUCUAUUGCAGCUCAGUUUUAUGAGUGGGGUACCGUGUUAAAGUUGUUCAAUACUGUAGAGGAAUUUCUGAAAAGAGUUUAUUGAAUUGAUUGUUGAAAAAGAAAAAAAGAUUAAAAAAACUGUCUGAAGAAUGGCAUCGCUUGUAUAUACAUUAAUUAUAAAUAUACUACAGAGUACACACAUUAUGUAAACUU
rnacentral:misc_RNA from 1 species